ensembl:lncRNA
AUAGAGUUUGAUUCCACACAUCAAUUUUGGGGAGCCAGGCAGGAGGCACUCUGUUCAGCUGUGGGACCGGCUGGAGAGAGGGGACCCCAUUGGCACACCCCAAGAUUUUUCAGAAGUACUCCCUCCCCUUACCUGAACACUGUAGGAACAGACAAGAACUAUCAGCAUACCAGACAAUAUUUUCCUUGGAUUAAAGAAAAAAGAAGAGCAGCCCCAUGUCGGUGAUGCACAGGGGAAUGCUGCCAACAAAAAGAGGCGUUCUAUUUUAGGUGAGAGUCUUUACAGACAUAUUGCUCUGGGGCUUGAGUGGUGUUUUUUAGGGUUUUUUUGUGUGUGUGUUCUUUUUUAUCUACUGCAGACAAGAGGUCUCAAACAGUCCUUGUAAAGGAAGACUAUUGUAAACUGUGAAACACACUCUUCCUUCCCCUGGAGAUUCCAGUGGUGAAAACAAUUCUGAUAUGGUUUCCUCCACUCAACUUCAGAGCUUCUGCUGAGAGAAGAAUGAGCUUUUACCAGUAGGAAGCUCAUAACACAACUUGAAGCAUUGAAUCUCCAGGAAUGCGUGAAGGAUUUUUCUCCUCC